rnacentral:rRNA from 1 species
AUUGAACGCUGGCGGCAGGCCUAACACAUGCAAGUCGAGCGGAUGAAGGGAGCUUGCUCCUCGAUUCAGCGGAGGACGGGUGAGUAAUGCCUACGAAUCUGCCUGGUAGCGGGGGAUAACGUACCGACAGGGACGCUAAUACCGCAUACGUCCUGAGAGAGAACGUGGGGGAUCUUCGGACCCCACGCUAUCAGCUGAGCCUAGGUCGGCUUAGCUAGUUGGUGGGGCAAAGGCCUACCCAGGCGACGAUCCGUAACUGGUCUGAGAGGAUGAUCAGCCACACUGGAACUGAGACACGGUCCAGACGCAUACGGGAGGCAGAAGUAGGGAAUAUUCGACACUGGGCGAAAGCCUGAUGCAGCAAUGCCGCGUGGGUGAAGAAGGUCUUCGGAUCGUAAAGCUCUUUAAGUUGGGAAGAACAGAAGUAAGUUUAAAGCUGGCCGUUUUGACGUUACCAACAGAAAAAGCAACGGCUAACUACGUG